rnacentral:rRNA from 1 species
UGGGGAAUUUUGGACAAUGGGCGCAAGCCUGAUCCAGCCAUGCCGCGUGCGGGAAGAAGGCCUUCGGGUUGUAAACCGCUUUUGUCAGGGAAGAAAUCUUCUGAGUUAAUACCUCGGGAGGAUGACGGUACCUGAAGAAUAAGCACCGGCUAACUACGUGCCAGCAGCCGCGGUAAUACGUAGGGUGCAAGCGUUAAUCGGAAUUACUGGGCGUAAAGCGUGCGCAGGCGGUUUUGUAAGACAGAGGUGAAAUCCCCGGGCUCAACCUGGGGACUGCCUUUGUGACUGCAAGGCUUGAGUGCGGCAGAGGGGGAUGGAAUUCCGCGUGUAGCAGUGAAAUGCGUAGAUAUGCGGAGGAACACCGAUGGCGAAGGCAAUCCCCCUGGGCCUGCACUGACGCUCAUGCACGAAAGCGUGGGGAGCAAACAGGAUUAGAUACCCUGGUAGUCCACGCCCUAAACGAUGUCAACUGGUUGUUGGGAAGGUUCCUUCUCAGUAACGUAGCUAACGCGUGAAGUUGACCGCCUGGGGAGUACGGCCGCAAGGUUGAAACUCAAA